UACGAAGGGGGCUAGCGUUGCUCGGAAUCACUGGGCGUAAAGGGUGCGUAGGCGGGUCUUUAAGUCAGGGGUGAAAUCCUGGAGCUCAACUCCAGAACUGCCUUUGAUACUGAGAUCUUGAGUUCGGGAGAGGUGAGUGGAACUGCGAGUGUAGAGGUGAAAUUCGUAGAUAUUCGCAAGAACACCAGUGGCGAAGGCGGCUCACUGGCCCGAUACUGACGCUGAGGCACGAAAGCGUGGGGAGCAACAGG
rnacentral:rRNA from 1 species